rnacentral:lncRNA from 1 species
GUAACUGCGAUUACAGGCUCCCGCCACCACGCCAGGCUAAUUUUUGUAUUUUAAGUAGAGACGGGAUUUCACCAUAUUGGCCAGGCUGGUCUUGAACCCCUGACUUCCAGUGAUCCGCCAACCUCAGCCUCCCAAAGGGGCUUUUAAAUGUAAGGGCCGCGCAGGGGCUCCGGCUAGGGCAUGAAAGGUUGGGAGGGGCCCUAGCCAUUGUCUUUUUUGACGGGGUUUCGAAUUCCAGGACUCAACGGAGCCUCCCAUCUCAGCCUCUGGGUGAGAUUAUAGGCGUUAACCGUGACUCCCUACCCAGUAUAAACUCAAACACACCAGGCGCAGCAGCUCACGCCUGUAAUCCCAGCACUUUGGGAGGCAAAGGCAGGUGGAUCACCUGAAGUCAGGAGUUCGAGACCAGCCUGGCCAACAUGGCGAAAUCCCGUCUCUACUAA